ensembl:lncRNA
AUGGAAACUCUGCUGCCUCCCUCUUACAGGGUGGAUCUGUGCAGUGACCAACUCGUGCCCCUGCAGAGGUGGCACCGGCGUCUCAGGUCCCCUGUGCUGAAUGAGGCUCCUCCCUGCUGUCCCCAGGAGCCCCAGACUGUCCCUUCCUGGCCUUCCAGGGCUUCUCCUUCGGCAUUCUGCUUCUGCUGGAGUAACUUCCCUUCAGAAAGGGAACAUGGAACAGCCUUUUGGUCUGUGACUUUCUCUGUCAUAAGAGGCAUCUUGCUUCCCUUAAGCAUGCGAUGGGAUUUGACAUCAGUGCUGUUUCUCCAUGCUGAUACUGUGAUUAAACUCCCAAAUUUGAGCAGCAGCAAUUUGUAACUCCCAGCAUCCCCUUUCUACUGCAAAUAUGAAUGUAAGUCCCUACAUUAUUCAUUCUUUCUAAAGUGAGAAGGGAGAGUUGUAAACUGCUGAAUUACAACCUGCAGUUGCCAAGAGGCAGGAACAACUUAAGAGCAAUUUAAUUGUAGAUGUUUUCCUCCUUUCCCUUUUAACUCUUUCCUCAGGGAAGGAUAAACACUACAGGCAGUUGAAUAGUAAAGGAGCUGUUCUGCAGACAGAGACAAGGAGGCAUAGAGAAGGUCAGAAUGAACUUUGCAGCUAGGAGAACAAAAGACAGCCAGAGUAGCAGACCAACUUUAGAAGGGCAGGAAUUUCAAAUUAAUUCAUUGAGUUACUCUGUUCAAGUUUGCUAAUGUGAUUGACUUUACUCACAAAAAAAAAGUAAAUUUCAGUUUAACAUUGGGAAGGAGUUAAAACUGUUGUAAUUUUUUAGUGGGUGAGAUUCCAUCAAUGCCCUACAUUACCCCAGGCAGCUCAAGACAGAACUUUGUGAAGGAAGCAGCUCUGAGGUAAAGGCAAAAUGAAGCUACCAGGGGGUCAUUAUAUAAUCAAAGCGUAUGGUGUCAGGCCAGUUGAUGUCAUAGUUACAAUUUUAGUGAUAUUUAUGCUUGUCUGAGAAUGUCAUCAUGGAAAGUAAGUGCUAUUCUGGAACAGCCUAAAGAGAGUGCUGAAUUGGUGCUCCUCCUCUUAGAUGCUUUUUUAAUCCAUUCCAUUAUUUGUUUAUGAUCAUGGGAACUUCUUAUGUGGUCCCUCACCAUUGUUUCCACAGUAAUAAUGUGGAUGCAACCUGCCUCCUAACACUGAACCUCUACAAGAUGUCAUCUCAAAAAAAUUGUGUCAGCUGGAGAACCUUAGGCAGAUUACAUCCACAGUCAGCCACAGCACUGCAAUCCUGAGCUGCACAUGCUGCAAACUGCAGUGCCUGAGAGCAGGGUGAGCUGUUCCUGUUGACUGAAAAUAUUCUGCUUUUUAUUUAGAGUGAGGAGUGGUUGAAAGGGACUUAGAGAAACACUUAUUUUACUGUCCUUCAUAAGCUUCAUGUUAAAAGCAGUACAAAGCUGCAACCUUUUUACCUUGGUAUGCACUACUAGAGAGGGACAAGCCUUGAAGCCAAGAGCUUUUGUGAAAGGCAUGAAUAAUAUUAAUCCUAUUACCAUGGUUGAAAUAGAAGUGGGCAUAUUCUUCUGUUGUUGGCUUUGUGAGAAUGCCUUAUUUUCCCCUACCAGCUUGAACAGUGUGUACUGCCAGCUAAGGGUGACCCUUCUUUUGUGCUCAUGUUCCACGCCGUAUCUGUGAAGUGUACAGGCAUUUUUGCAUGACAUUGCAUACUGUAUUUUUGCAAUUCCUUAAUGCAGCUGAAAGGAGGAUGUUUACAAAGAAGAUGUAAUGUGGGCACCUGCAAAAAGAUUUUUCUUAGGUUCUCUGCCUGAAGUGGAAGGUCUACAAACCUGCCAACGCAUUUAUUCACUAUAUAAGGUGUCUGCCAUUUUUAGAUCAUCUGGUUAUACCUCUGGUCCUCAGAGUCUGGUAACAAAAAUCAAAAUAUGUAAAGUCAAAAUAUACACAAAAAUAUCUUUUUUAAAAUAUUUUUGUUCUUUUCUCUUCCUUUUUGUCUAAUUGGAUUCUCAUAUACCAUUCUGUGAAGUAAAGUAGGAAUGCAAAAAAAACGCUGGCUCUUUUUUUUAAAUCUCUCUCCUUUUGAUGACAAGUCAAAUAUGGAGUCAUUUGUUUUGUCUGAACUACAAGGCAGUGUUAGCCUUGAGCUUGUUUCCUCUGGAGAAGAGAGAUUAUGUAACAGCACUAAAUGGUGUUAGUCUGGACAAAUAAAUAAACCUGGCUCACUCCUUGAAGGUAGGCA